rnacentral:tRNA from 1 species
GCUAUCGUAGCUUAAAAGGAAAGCAUAGCACUGAAGUUGCUAAGAUGGACCCUCUAAAGUCCCGAGAGCA